GAGUGGGGAGAUUUAGGGUGAGAGAGGUGCCAUCGUGCUGGGGAAGGCGGGACUAGGAGAGGUAAAAGAAUGGGGAGAGAAAUGGGAGGGAGAGAAGGAACCUGAGGGAGAUUUGAGGGGAGAAGGCGCUUGAGGGGGAACCAGGAGGGGAGAAGGCUUGUGAGCGGGAAAUGUGAGAGGAGAAGUGGCGCGAGGGGGAACCGCGAGGGGAGAAGGAGCGCGAGAGGGAACCGCGAGGGGAGAAGGGGUCCCGCCUCCCGGCCGCGCCGCCCUAGGUGUCUCCGCCUGGCGGUUACGAGGAGGCCACCUCCUGGUUGCCGGCCUGGCGGUCCUACUCACCACCGCAAGAUUUCAAAAGGGAAAUUCCUCCAGGGCUGAGUCACAAGGAAGAAAGCGAUUUCCUCCGCCUCUUCCAAAGCGGCCCCUUUGGUUCCAGUCUGCUGGAGUUUGCUGGAGGUCUACUCCUGAUGCUAUUUGCCUGGGUAUCACCAGCGGAGGCUGCAGAGCAGCAAAGAUUGCUGCCUGUUCUUUCCUCUGGAAGCUUCGACCCAGUGGGGCACCUGCCAGAUGCCAGCCAGAGCUCUCCUGUAUCAGGUGUCUGUAGGUCCCAACUAGGAGGCGUCUCCCAGUCAGUAUACAAGGGGGUCAGGGGCCCACUUGAGGAGGCAGACUGACCCUUAGCAGAGCUCAAAUGCUGUACUGGGAGGUCCACCGCUGUCUUCAGAGCCAUCAGGCAGAGACGUUUAAGUAUGCUGUAAGCCCCUAACUGGGGCUGCUGCCUUUUUUUACAGAGAUGCCCUGUCCAGAGAGGAGCAAUCUGGCAGUCUGGCCACAGCAGCCUUGCUGAGCUGCAGUGGGCUCUGCCCAGUUCGAACUUCCCAGCAGCUUUGUUUAUGUGGUGGUCAUAAAACUGCCUACUCAAGUCUCAGCAAUGGCGGAUGCCUCUUCCACCACCAAGCUAAACCGUCCCCGGUGGAUCUCAGAUUGCUGCUGUGCUGGCAGUGAGAAUUUCAAGCCAGUGGAUCUUACUUUCCUGGGCUCCAUGGGGGUGGGACUGGCAAAGCCAGAACACUUGGCUCCCUGGCUUCAGCCCCUUUCCAGGGGAGUGAACGGUUCUGUCUUGCUGGUGUUCCAGGCGCCACUGGGGUAUGGAAAAAAAAAAAAAGCUCCUACAGCUAGUUCAGUGUCUGCCCAGUUGGCCGCCAAGUUUUGUGCUUGAAACCUAGGGCCCUGGUGGGGUAGUCACUGGACGGAAUCUCCUGGUUUGCAGGUUGCGAAGACUGUGGGACAAGCACAGUAUCUGUGCUGGAGUUCCUCAGGCUCAGACCCUCAUGGCAUCUCUUGGGUAUGGGGGAAAAUUCACCGACCCCUUGCACUUCCUAGGUGAGGUGAUGCCCCACCCUGCUUCGGCUUGCCCUCCAUGGGCUGCACCCACUGUCCAACCAGUCCCAGUGAAAUGAACUGGGUGCCUCAGUUGGAAAUGCAGAAAUCACCCACCUUCUGCCUGCAUCUCACUGGGAGCUGCAGACUGGUGCUGUUCCUAUUUGGCCAUCUUGAAUCUCUCCUGUUCAUUUUUUCUUUCAGUGUAUUUUCCUCUCAGUUCAGGCUGGAAAAUUUCAAUUGCUCUUUGACUUCACUGAUUCUUUUGUCAUCUUCGUUCUGUUAUUGAAUCCAUCCAAAUUGCUUUCCUGUAGAGGAGAAGGAUUGAGACAUGACCUUUGGUGAAACUGAAGCUAUAACUUGAAUAAUAUUCAUUAAUCUGGGGAGAAUAAAAUUUUGAAAGAAGAAAUUUAAUUUUGAUGCUCUUCUUUAAAACCAAUGGCUCCACAUUGUCUGUAAGAUAAAUAAUAAAAGCUGUAUUUACUACCGCGUUCAAGGGACUUCUCAAUUGGGCCCCAAUCUACUUUUCUGAUAUCAUUUCUGAUACAACUUUUCACUUACAGUCCAGCAAGGCCUGUCCACUCACUCUCGUUAGACCCUUCAUGCUGUCCUACCUCUGAGCAUUGGCUCAUAUUCACUCCUUGGAAUGGACUUGAUUUCACCUUUUAAAAUCCACUUUUAUUUGCUUCAUCUAACUUAUGACUUCUUCAAAGCAGAUCAAAUAUCAUCUUUUUGUGAAGUA